AACGCACAUUGCGCCUGCUAGCAUUCUGGCAGGCAUGCCUGUUCGAGCGUCAUUUCAACCCUCAAACUUAAUCGUUUGGUGUUGAGGUUUUCUAUAAUUUAUAGGCCUCUAAAUCUAUUGGCAGAACGUCAUAAACUCUCAAUUGUAGUAAAUUUUAUUUCUAUUGAAGAAUUUUGAUGAUUCUAGCCGUAAAACACAGCGUGCUCUUUUGGAGCCCUAUUUUUUACAAGGUUGACCUCGGAUCAGGUAGGAAUACCCGCUGAACUUAA
rnacentral:misc_RNA from 1 species